rnacentral:rRNA from 1 species
UUGACCUCGGAUCAGGUAGGGAUACCCGCUGAACUUAAGCAUAUCAAUAAGCGGAGGAAAAGAAACCAACAGGGAUUGCCUCAGUAACGGCGAGUGAAGCGGCAACAGCUCAAAUUUGAAAUCUGGCUCUUUCAGGGUCCGAGUUGUAAUUUGUAGAAGAUGCUUUGGGUGUGGCUCCGGUCUAAGUUCCUUGGAACAGGACGUCAUAGAGGGUGAGAAUCCCGUACGUGACUGGUUGCCUCCGCCCGUGUAAAGCUCUUUCGACGAGUCGAGUUGUUUGGGAAUGCAGCUCAAAAUGGGUGGUAAAUUUCAUCUAAAGCUAAAUAUUGGCCAGAGACCGAUAGCGCACAAGUAGAGUGAUCGAAAGAUGAAAAGCACUUUGGAAAGAGAGUUAAACAGUACGUGAAAUUGUUGAAAGGGAAGCGCUUGCAACCAGACUUGCAUGCGGUUGAUCAUCCGAGCUUCUGCCCGGUGCACUCGAUCGUAUUCAGGCCAGCAUCGGUUUUGGUGGGCGGAUAAAGGCCUUGGGAAUGUAGCUCCCUUCGGGGAGUGUUAUAGCCCUCGGUGCAAUGCGCCCUACCGGGACCGAGGACCGCG